CCUGGCAACCAUGGCGGGAGGGAAACACCCGUUCCCAUCCCGAACACGGUCGUUAAGCCUCCCAGCGCCGAUGGUACUGCCUCCGAGAGGAGGUGGGAGAGUAGGUGUUGCCAGGG
rnacentral:rRNA from 1 species